CAGUAGCCGCGGUAAUACGUAGGUGGCAAGCGUUGUCCGGAAUUAUUGGGCGUAAAGGGCUCGCAGGCGGUUUCUUAAGUCUGAUGUGAAAGCCCCCGGCUCAACCGGGGAGGGUCAUUGGAAACUGGGAAACUUGAGUGCAGAAGAGGAGAGUGGAAUUCCACGUGUAGCGGUGAAAUGCGUAGAGAUGUGGAGGAACACCAGUGGCGGAGGCGACUCUCUGGUCUGUAACUGACGCUGAGGAGCGAAAGCGUGGGGAGCGGACAGGAUUAGAUACCCGCGUAGUCCCUGUCUCUCAUAC
rnacentral:rRNA from 1 species